GCUGCUGAGAUGUGGAGUUGAGGUCACAGUUGAUGGACCAGAUUCGCACGCUGGAUUGGUGGCGAUUGCCGAAUCCUCCGUCUCUUCGGGUGUUCGGGUGAAUGGAUGAGGAGGGGUCCCUGAAGGCUGGAUCUGCCGCCUUGGACUUACAGUUCAUAUGGCGAAGUACAGUGUGGUAGUGGUGGAUGGUGCUAUAAGGUGAUAAAUGAUCUAGAACUGACAAUGUGAUAAAGCGGCCCAGAAGCCUCCCACUCUGUAACAUUACAUUACAUUACAUAAGCUUGCGAUUCACCAAACGUGGGAUAAACAUUGUGAUGUGCGGGAGCACCUCCUUCCUGCCCGCUUGCUCGGCCGCCAGCCCCAUCCAAUUCUUAUACUUCGCCAUGUGGAUUCCUGGUUGCUUGCUGUCUGACGGAUAUACGUCAGGCUGGACAUCUAAACGCGUAUGCUUCCAACCACUCAUUAAUCGGUCCUUGAACUCCAAAAUCACACCUUCUGGCAUUGGCUUGUUCAUCAACCACUCCACUCGUUCGUCUACCUCGUGUAGCCCUUGCGGGGCCUCUUUCCAUACAUCGUGCCCCAAGAAACAUAGAAAACCCACUUGACACACAUGAGCAGAUCUCACCAAAAGCGGCCCCUGCAGGCUGCUCCACUGUUGUCUGCCAAAAGCAUGGCCAACAUCAGUGCAUGCACCAACAGCAGCCAUCUCACUAGGCCGCCAUGCAUUCAAUUGUUAGACCUUUGCUUAUAAGUCGCAUCCCAUAGCAAACCAAACACAAACACAAGGAAGUUCUAUGGGGGGUCUAACAUCAAAGUCGUCCAUGCAUUUUUGCUUCACACCAAAUGGCUCGCACUCAUUGCAAACAACACAACAAACCCUCACCCCCUACCGUGGGGGGGACAGUGCCCACUUGUAACCCGGGAUGCUCAGAUGGGCCUGGCGUCGCCACAUAAGCAGUGGGCAAUAGAACCUCACGCUACACUUAUGUAGGCUUGCCCACCUGAAAAAUUGUCUUACUGUGAGAGGGUGUGGUUGGGGGUGCUGCAGCCUAUGUUGUGAUGGGAUUUGGCUUGACGAUAAAUGGUGCAUGCAUGGUGAGUCGAAUGGAAAGCUUACAAGGAGCAAAGCGAACUGAUGAGUUGUGCUCAGUAAAAAAAGUCCACAUUACAAAAACAUGCCGAAAGGCCGACUUGUUCUCCUGGAAUGCCUGUGAUGUGUUGGUGAAACCCUGGAAUUUGUUGUUGUUGUUGUUACAGGGUGGUACAGCUUCACCAGUGGCCUCCUUCCUGAGGCAAUUUGUUGUGAAGAGCCUGUAAAAACAAACACGAAAUGCAAGCAACAUAUCUUAUCCUUCCUCUCUUCCCGUUCAUCUUCAUCCUUUUGUUCUCUCCCUCCAUACCCUCCUCUUGCUCCUCUUUUUUCGCUCUUUUCCUUACCAGAAUGCGGAAACGUUUCCUCCUCUUCCUUCUCUCUCCCUUUUGUCCCUUCUCCCCUUCGUAUUCCUCUUCACAAUCCUCUCUGUCCUCUCUCUCACGUCCAUCCUCCUCGUAAUUCUUUCUCUCCUCCCCCUCCUCUCCUUCCACUCCCUCCUUUUCCUUCCCUCCCUCCACUCCCACCUUGUCCUUCUUUCCCUCCUCUCAAGGCGGCGGGAUAAAGCCAACCUUUUGGAGGGCAUGUUCGAAGCCUGUUUGAAGGAUUAUGCAGUCCAGCUGCAGAUUUUAUUCAUGAGGCAGGUAGUGGGGACAGGACGGCCUUCCCACAGGCUGUUGUAUGCAGAGCUGGCUGAACUCCCCUUCCAGUAUUGCAUGGUGAAACAUUCCUCCGUUUCUGGAACCGUCUUCAAAAGCAAGUGGGGACCAUUGCUCAUGCAGUUUUUAUGGCAGGAGAUAAUGUUAUGACUGUUUUCCUUCUUGGAGUGCAAUAUUAGGCGUGGAAUACCGCAAGAAGUCGUGGGGGUAAAGGAGAGUGUUGACUGGUUGUUGAGUAGGCCUCUACCCAAUGGAUUGAUGAUAACGGCACUAGGAGAGUGUUUGAUGAGCGGCUGGGACCAUACGCGUCUGACUGUCUUGCCAGAGGAGUACCCAUCAGAUGGGAAGCAACCUGGAGUGCAAAUGGUGAAGUAUAAGCACUGGAUGGGGCCACCCUUUUUGGGAGUUGCAGCCGUCCUGUGGCCAACACAUGCUAAGGUUUUUAUUCCUCGUUUAGCACAUCAUAAGCUAAUGCAGAUUCAUUUAUGUUGCUAAGCUCUGGAGGCAAACAGAGCAUGAAGAGGCAAGUACCAUGUCCCCAUGGGGCAGCAGUUUUGCCACUGUUGUGGUACUAAUAGCCGAAUCAAGGAUGAAAAACACAUGUUAAUGGAAUGCCCAGCCUAUAUUAUUGACAUUCGUGCUGAAGAGGGAUUCGAUCAUCAACAGAGCAUAUUGUAGGACAUGAAAUGGGAACCAGCACAUCUUGCGAGUGUGGAACAUAUAGGGUUCAUUGGACCUUACAGGUCCUGAUUCCAUUGACUUUUAGUGCCUAGUUUCCUGUGUAGUUUGCUUCCUUCUGCCUACUUUUGAGUACCAGUUUGCUCCCCAAUACUGUAACCUAUAUCUAAAACAGUGCAUGCUCUUCCAACGUGACUUCACUAGUCUCCACAUCCUUGACAGGUUUUUACAGUAUACCAAUUAGGUGGUACAACAAAUGCCAAGCUUAUCAUGAUAAACAGGACUAGGUUAGCCAACUUGAUGCCUAGCCACCGAAUAGCAGCCAGGAAAAAAGCUGGCAAAUACAUAAAAAAACGAUGCCUAGGACAACACCAUAACUGCAUUUAAAUGCAGUNNNNNNNNNNNNNNNNNNNNNNNNNNNNNNNNNNNNNNNNNNNNNNNNNNUCACUGCCAUCUAUGGUGGCAGUUAUGCAAGGGUUAGCGUCCUGCAAGUUUAAGACCCCUGCAGUUGUAGCGCUGGCCAAGGCAACAGCAUUUAAAUGCCGUUAUGGUGUUGUCUUAGGCGUCCUUUUUUUAUGUAUUUGCCAGCUUUUUUCCUGGCUGUUAUUUGGUGGCUAGGCAUAAAGUUGGCAGACCAAGUCCUGUUUAUUGUGAUAACCUUGGCAUUUGUUGUACCACCUACUUGGUAUACCGCUCGCAAAAACUAGUCAAGGACGUGGAGACUUAUGAAGUCUUAAAGCUGCAAGAUGCCAACACUUGCAUAACUGCCACCAUAGAUAGCAGCGACAUCUGCUUCCCAACCAACAUUGACAGAAUCAUAAACAAUUUUCCAUAGCAUCAAUUGAUUUUUCCGUUGGCUUGCCGACAUGGAAGGGCCAUGCUAGUUUCUGCCAUGCAGAGUGAAACGUAUGCAGCAUGUCUGAAGUGCACAACAUAUCGAUAUGUGACUAAAUAUGUGCUGCUGUGGACUGAGUAUGCCAGGAUAGGCUAUCUAUGAAGGGAUGCCUUUCCUAGUGCACUGACAUACCAGGAGAAUUACCAAACACUUUCUAGUGCUAGGCUCCAUUCAUAGCUUCUCCAAUUCCUUCACACUCACACUGGACGUCGAUCUCGAUGUGCUCCUUGCGCCCUGUGAAAGAGCAGGGGCAGGCAACAGGAUGCCUCAAUUUCCACACGAUAGGCAGGCAUUUGGAAUGCUCCAUUCCUUGAUACCUAUGAAACUCAAGGCUCAUCCAAGUCCUUGUCCUCGUAUUGUUGUCGAGCUUCCUCGCGUACCUCGCGUUGUUGUUGUUGUUGGUCGUGCUUCAGUUACCAUAGUGUCUUCAGGUGCUCGCAUAAGCCUUUGUUAUUAGGCUCCGCCGCCGACACUUCUGCAAUUUCCUCGUCAAAAGACAGCAUGUUUUCGCUAAGAGUGCAGUUAAACAAAUUUCGCCUAUUGUACAUGGAUAGUGAUUAGUAUGGCGGGGCUUGGGGUUGCUAAAUCCUAAUCGAGAUUAGGAUGCCCUGGAGUGGUCGCUAGUACGGCUGCCAUGUAACUAAGCGCAAAGUAAAUUCAGUAUAUAUUCGAGACGUACCAUGUUUCUGCUUUGCUGCAAAAUGGCCGUCCCUCCAUCCUCCAUCUUGUUCAAUCCUCGAACUAUCUGAACGAAUUCGCAUACGCUUAUGUCAACCUUGGCCACCGUGUCCCGAAUCAUUGUCUGAAUACCUAGCCAACUUGCCGCUCCUAGCUCCAUGUAAGUGCGGCUCGAACCGGUGGCGGCUUGCCCCAUGUCGCCUGCAACACGGGUGUGGGUAUACAUAAACGGUGCAUAAGGCCGGUAGUGCAUACGGUUGAGCAGCUUUCGCUGCCCUGCACCAACGCUGACUGCGUCGGUGAUAACAUGGGGUCACGCCAUCCAAAGAACUGCAGCAAUUCACGGAUGACGGUCAGCAGCUGUUUGAUCGACAAACACGGCAAUCCAACAUACGGCUUAUACAAAUGUCCAAACUACACCAAUAAAAAGUUGGGGAGGUGGGAACAAGAAACUCAUCCUCGAAAUUGUGGCAAGAAGAGGGUGCAUGCACUCAGCGCAUGGAUGCAAUUGAACAGGGAGGAGGAAAUGCUCCCAUCCUGUCCCCCUGUUGGCCCUCAGUUGCUAACGCGCCCAUGCUGGCCAGAAUGCCAAGAAUGUUUCCUGAUCAACAAUUUGUGAUACCCUCAGCCCAAGAUCUGAAAUGAAACGAAUGCUCGGUGGCACAUUGUCCCAGGCCUCCUCACCCUGGAAUGGCGUUGGUAGUAAAGACAGAUCAUGGUGGAAUUUCGCGCACCUCACACGCGCAGCAGCAUUCGUGCAGCACGACAGCACACAAAAGGCAGCAGCAAGGCAGUACGACAGCCCUGGCUCUCCGGCUAGCGGCUCCCCCGAAAGCAAAAACUUAAAACGUCCACAUCGUCAAUACCACCGGGUGGAAAUAAUGAAUGCUUCUCGGUCAGCAGAACGUUUGCCGAGGCGGUCGCUGCGGUGUCGGUUAGCUACUCUAGGCGGGAAGGCUUUCUCACAGCCGGGAAACCUUCCCAACACAUAAUCCAGCACCGAAGCUAAUACAACUUGCGAGCUGACCAGGAACUAAGUUGACGUGCCGUUGAUCCGCUAGAUUUGGUUGGAUGCUGGUGGUGAGUUGCCAAACUCAAAGAGUACACUCUGAAGUCGGAUGGGGUGAAUGGAUUAGGGUGCCCCUCUAGCAGGGGAGAGCAGGGAAUUGCCUCGGGAAGGAGGCCACUGGUGAAGCUUAACCACCCUGUAACAACAUCAACUAGUAAGGGCUUUCAGGUGUUAUGGUUAUGCGGGCAGCAGUACCAAUGACCCGUCCGCAUUCACAGCUUCAACAGAAAUGAUACAUAAGGAAUUCUCUGGUCUGGGUUGACACUACUGCAAUUAGCGGUUUAAGGUCCUGGGUUCGAUUCCUGGGGAGACCCCCGAACUAGUCGGGAGCGCGAGAUUAUGGCUAGCUGCUGAGAUGUGGAGUUGAGGUCACAGUUGAUGGACCAGAUUCGCACGCUGGAUUGGUGGCGAUUGCCGAACCCUCCGUCUCUUCGGGUGUUCGGGUGAAUGGAUGAGGAGGGGUCCCUGAAGGCUGGAUCCGCCGCCUUGGACUUACAGUUCGUAUGGCGAAGACAGUGUGGUAGUGGUGGAUGGUGCUAUAAGGUGAUAAAUGAUCGUAGAACUGACAAUGUGAUAAAGCGGCCCAGAAGCCUCCCACUCUGUAACACAUUACAUUACAUUACAUUACAUUACAUAAGGAAUUCACAACAUAAAGAUUCAGCCUGUCCCUGUGGCACGUGGUUAUAAAGCACAAAGUCAGAUGUCGCG
rnacentral:lncRNA from 1 species